AUUGAACGCUGGCGGCAGGCUUAACACAUGCAAGUCGAGCGGGGGAAGGUAGCUUGCUACUGGACCUAGCGGCGGACGGGUGAGUAAUGCUUAGGAAUCUGCCUAUUAGUGGGGGACAACAUCUCGAAAGGGAUGCUAAUACCGCAUACGUCCUACGGGAGAAAGCAGGGGAUCUUCGGACCUUGCGCUAAUAGAUGAGCCUAAGUCGGAUUAGCUAGUUGGUGGGGUAAAGGCCUACCAGGGCGACGAUCUGUAGCGGGUCUGAGAGGAUGAUCCGCCACACUGGGACUUAGACACGGCCCAGACUCCUACGGGAGGCAGCAGUGGGGAGUAUUGGACAAUGGGGGGAACCCUGAUCCAGCCAUGCCGCGUGUGUGAAGAAGGCCUUAUGGUUGUAAAGCACUUUAAGCGAGGAGGAGGCUACUUUAGUUAAUACCUAGAGAUAGUGGACGUUACUCGCAGAAUAAGCACCGGUUAACUCCGUGCCAGCCGCCGCGGUAA
rnacentral:rRNA from 1 species